rnacentral:rRNA from 1 species
CUUGUAGUUUUGAUGUUCUAACGUUGGUCCCUGAAUCGGGAUUACGGACAGUGCCUGGUGGGUAGUUUGACUGGGGCGGUCUCCUCCCAAAGAGUAACGGAGGAGCACGAAGGUGGGCUAAACACGGUUGGACAUCGUGUGGUUAGUGCAAUGGCAUAAGCCCGCUUGACUGCGAGAAUGACAAUUCGAGCAGGUGCGAAAGCAGGUCAUAGUGAUCCGGUGGUUCUGAAUGGAAGGGCCAUCGCUCAACGGAUAAAAGGUACUCCGGGGAUAACAGGCUGAUACCGCCCAAGAGUUCAUAUCGACGGCGGUGUUUGGCACCUCGAUGUCGGCUCAUCACAUCCUGGGGCUGAAGUCGGUCCCAAGGGUAUGGCUGUUCGCCAUUUAAAGUGGUACGCGAGCUGGGUUUAGAACGUCGUGAGACAGUUCGGUCCCUAUCUGCCGUGGGCGUUGGAAAAUUGAAAGGGGCUGCUCCUAGUACGAGAGGACCGGAGUGGACGAACCUCUGGUGUUCGGGUUGUCAUGCCAAUGGCAUUGCCCGGUAGCUAAGUUCGGAAUCGAUAACCGCUGAAAGCAUCUAAGCGGGAAGCGAGCCUUGAGAUGAGUUUUCCCUGACGCUUUAAGCGUCCUAAAGGGUUGUCGUAGACUACGACGUUGAUAGGCAGGGUGUGUAAGUGCUGCGAGGCAUUGAGCUAACCUGUACUAAUUGCCCGUGAGGCUUAACCAUACAACACCCAAGGGGUUU